rnacentral:misc_RNA from 1 species
GGAAAAGAACAUGGAUAAAUUGGACACCAAACUGUACUACAACAUGUUUGCUUUAUCCAUAAUCUAAUCUACAACAGUUCCCAAGGAAAAACAUCUACUAGUUUUGAUUCCAUUAUACACUCAAUUACAAGAUAGCCAGCCACAUACAACAUUUAGCUGUUCUCGGCAACAGCCUCGUCAAUUUCAUCUGCAUGCUCUCUCAAUACAUUCCACUGAUCCAUGCUCAAUGAGAUGCCUUUUCUGCCGGGCAUUUGCUUGCCAUCUUUCACAUAAAACUCUCGAAUAUCCACCAUUACCCUUCCUCCAAAGUUCCUAACUGUUACUCUUCGAUUCUUAGAAAUCUCACAAACGACGAUGGCGUCUUCAUCGUCAGAAUCAUCGGUUCUGGAAGCUUUCUUAGGAGGAUUGUCGCCUUCAGAAGCGUAUUCAUUCUCUUCCUUUCUCUUUCCGAAUCUUCUAGACAUUUCUUCUGCUUCGUGUACA